rnacentral:lncRNA from 1 species
GCUAAGUUGCUGAGGUUGGCCUUGAAUUUACAACCCUCCUGCCUCAGCCUUUGGAGGAGCUGGGAUUACAGAUGUGCGCCACCGUGCCUGGCCUAAACAGUUAAAAUUUAAGAAUAAACAACAAGCCAAUGUAUGUGAAUCCUUGGACAGCCGCCCAGAAUGGGAACAAGGCUGGAGUUCCCCAACCUGUGAUCCAUGAUGGACUCUGGACCUUUGGCAGUUUCCACAGUUGCACAUACAAACAUGUCGCAUUCCGAUAGAGAACAUCCUGAAAGAGUAAAUCUGUCAACAUUAAAACAUGGACAUGACUGGGAACCAGAAAGCUAAAACACUGACUGCCUACAAUUGUGCUUGGAAUUCCACAAGGACCUCUCUGAGCAGCUGCUGCUCUCACCAGUGACGCCUGUGGGCCUGCUUUGCUGUCCCCAUCUGUUCCUGGGGGUACCCGGUGACUAAGGCACCCUGUCUUGCGAUACCUCCCUCCUGAGUAGCCCCUACUUGUACAAAUCUGCAUCAGACACAGCAGCCAACUCAGAUCUGACCUCCGUUUCCCUAGGCUGGCCGCCAACCCAGCAGGAGCCCAGCAGUGGCAAGACACAUCUUACCCUCACAUCAAGCAGCAGCCUGUGGUCCC